GAUGAACGCUAGCUACAGGCUUAACACAUGCAAGUCGAGGGGAAACGGCGGAGGAGCUUGCUUCUUCGGACGUCGACCGGCGCACGGGUGAGUAACGCGUAUCCAACCUGCCCCGGUCUGCGGGAUAACCCGUCGAAAGACGGACUAAUACCGCAUGGGGUUCCCUGAGGGCAUCUGACGGGAACUAAAGAUUGAUCGGACCGGGAUGGGGAUGCGUCUGAUUAGCUCGUUGGCGGGGUAACGGCCCACCAAGGCUACGAUCAGUAGGGGUUCUGAGAGGAAGGUCCCCCACAUAGGAACUGAGACACGGUCCUAACUCCUACGGGAGGCAGCAGUGAGGAAUAUUGGUCAAUGGGCGGGAGCCUGAACCAGCCAAGUAGCGUGCAGGAAGACGGCCCUAUGGGUUGUAAACUGCUUUUAUGCGGGGAUAAAGUGGGCCACGCGUGGCUUAUUGCAGGUACCGCAUGAAUAAGGACCGGCUAAUUCCGUGCCAGCAGCCGCGGUAAUACGGAAGGUCCGGGCGUUAUCCGGAUUUAUUGGGUUUAAAGGGAGUGUAGGCGGCCUGUCAAGCGUGUUGUGAAAUGCGGAUGCUCAACAUCCGCACUGCAGCGCGAACUGGCUGGCUUGAGUGCACGCAAUGUAGGCGGAAUUCAUGGUGUAGCGGUGAAAUGCUUAGAUAUCAUGAGGAACUCCGAUCGCGAAGGCAGCUUACGGGAGUGCGACUGACGCUUAAGCUCGAAGGUGCGGGUAUCGAACAGG
rnacentral:rRNA from 1 species